CGGCAUCAUCAAUCCUAAAUCGGAUCUUUUUCAAUUUGGGUGUGUGUUUUGAUCCUGAUUUUUUCCUCUUGAUAUUACCUUAGUCUUUUUCUUGAUACGCUGAUUAUUUGGAUUGUUUUGGUGAUUCGGAAACAAUUGGAAAUGCGAGCUUUUAAGGAAGAUGGAAUACAAUAAUAGUGUGGUUGAAUAUUUAGUCUGAUAUUUGUUUGGUGUCUUACUCAAGUUCUCUCUGCCAUCAUAUCGGAACCGAUAUUGAAGAUUAUAAGUGCUCUUGGUUGGUCGUGAAAGCUUUGGAACUUAGCAACGAGGAGUAAAAGAAAACACUAUAUGAGAACUAUGGGAAUCCUGACCCAGCGAAGGUCGCCAAAGUAAAGGCCCUUGACAAAGAACUCGAUAUUCAGGUUUAGAUUUGAUCUUAUGAAGUUAUUUAAAUUUCUCAAUAGAAUCUAUAAGUCGGCAUCAUCAAUCCUGAAUCGGAUCUUUCUUAAUUUGGGUGUGCGUUCCGAUCCUGAUUUUUCCUCUUCCUAAUUUUCUUUUAUUAUGGCUAUUUUGUUAUUUGAUUCGUAAGAAAAGUAUGUUCUUAGGUAGGGCGUGUUAAUGCUAAGUUUGUUAUUGCAAGCGGGCAAUAUAUGCUCUUGCAAUAUUUACAAUCAAUACUUAAGUGACCAAUUGGUCUUGAUCCGACUAGCUAUUACAGUAACUGUUCCAAUCAUUAUUUGUCAAUGUACCAGAUUUUUAUACUAAUAGCUUAACUAUAUAUCAGUUCAUGGUGGUUCAAAUAUAGUUUCACUGUAUUUGUUUGUUUCCUUCUGGAAUUUGCUUAUUUUUCAAGUUCAGGUGCUAAAUUUUGAUCGUUUGAAGAAGCGACCGAGCAUGAACGAUUGGGGUCACAGGAUAAUUUAGGCGUAUUAAUUGUGCUCUAGUAUUUUUCAAUGAGAAUUGAGGUAUUUUGAUUGGAUGCCUAAUUUUAACACCCCAAAUGGUGCAGCUGACGAAAAAAACAAGAGAGGAGACGCCCAAAAAAAGGAGGGAGAUACGAUAAAGAAAAAGUAUAUGCGCAUAAUGAGGAUGCGAAAUUUAUUCUACAAGGAGUCUGAAAGAUGUGGGUGAUGCCACGCUCUGUACAUGUGCAGAAUUCAGUCAGAUAUAUAAGGGAUGACUCAAAUAGGUUCAACCUUACAGUAGCAAGCCCAUUUCUAUUUCAGGUAUGGCAAUGAAAAUGAACAAGUUGAGGUGCAAGAUGAAUUAUAAUGCUCUCAAGUUUUCUUCCUAAGCUGAAGCAAAUGGCUCAUUCAUUGGCAUCAACAAUGAAACCACAUUGAAAGUUGCUGCAUUUAUGAUAUAAAUAGGUUUGCUCCAUUAAGGUCUUUUUUUAUGUGGCUUCACUGGAUUGUUUGAAAGUUGAGCUUUAAGCAAGAAGGUCAACCUUACAGGUUUCGUAUUUUAGUCGCGAUUCAAGAUGAACAUAUUUUUGUCAUCUAGGUUGAUCUUCUCUCACCAUCGCAGAUGUUACUUCAUUGGAUUUAUGAGACAUAACUUUUGUUUGUGGAGCGAUGCCAAAUAAAGCUUAUUAAUUUCGCAUUUUCAUAUAGCAUAUAAGUAUUUUGUCCUUUUUUUUUUGAAUUUACAGGAGAUAAGUCCUUGAGCAAAGGGGAAGAGAAUUGCUUCAUGUGUUGGCCCCUUGCUUCAUUGCUUUUGUUUUUGGUUUGGUACUUGCGUGGUGAGGCCCAAACUGGCGACUAAGGAAGCCACUGUUUAUAAACAAAUAUGAGAUGUAAAAAUAUAGUAGUUACUUUUUAGAAACCAAGUAGCACAUCCAUUGAAAAUAGCUUCAGCUAUUACAGUAUUUUGUAUUAAUAUUUGUUUUAUGUUAACAUCCUAAAGUUUGGCUGUUCAUGACCUGUUACUGGCAGAGUUUGGAAGAUAAUUUACCCGCAGCAACGCGCGGGCACUCUAACCUAUUUCAAUUACUAGUCCUCUUUCUCGCAAAUUCUGAAUGUCAUCUUUCCAAUUUCUUCCAUACUUUGUCUAUCUCAAAUUCACAUUUCCAUAAGUUUCAUUUUUCAUCCAAGAAGCCACAGCAAAGCGCGGGCUUGCUGACUAGUCAUGAACAAAAGAGGCGAAUCAAACAGAACGUUCUGUAGAAAUAAAACAACAUGAGGACU